rnacentral:misc_RNA from 1 species
AAGUCGUAACAAGGUCUCCGUAGGUGAACCUGCGGAAGGAUCAUUACAGUGUUCGCUGCCCUCACGGGUAGCAAACCUCACCCUUGUGUAUUAUAUCUUUGUUGCUUUGGCACGCCGCCUUCGGGCACUGGCUUCGGCUGGCUCGCGCGUGUCAGAGGACCCCAAACUCUGAAUGUUAGUGUCGUCUGAGUACUAUCUAAUAGUUAAAACUUUCAACAACGGAUCUCUUGGUUCUG